GAUGAAGAACGUAGCGAAAUGCGAUAACUAAUGUGAAUUGCAGAAUUCAGUGAAUCAUCGAGUCUUUGAACGCACAUUGCGCCCCCUGGUAUUCCGGGGGGCAUGCCUGUCCGAGCGUCAUUGCUGCCCUCAAGCCCGGCUUGUGUGUUGGGCCCCGUCCCCCUCUCCGGGGGACGGGCCCGAAAGGCAGCGGCGGCACCGAGUCCGGGCCUCGAGCGUAUGGGGCUUUGUCACCCGCUCUGUAGGCCCGGCCGGCGCCAGCCGACAACCCAUCAUCCUUUUCAGGUUGACCUCGGAUCAGGUAGGGAUACCCGCUGAACUUAAGCAUAUCAAUAAGCGAGGA
rnacentral:misc_RNA from 1 species